rnacentral:rRNA from 1 species
AGCAGCCGCGGUAAUUCCAGCUCCAAUAGCGUAUAUUAAAGUUGUUGCAGUUAAAAAGCUCGUAGUUGAAUUUCGGGGUUAGUAGGUUGGUCAUGCCUCUGGUAUGUACUGGUCUCACUGAUUCCUCCUUCCUGAUGAGCCGUAAUGCCAUUAAUUUGGUGUUGCGGGGAAUUUGGACUGUUACUUUGAAAAAUUAGAGUGUUUAAAGCAAGCUAACGCUUGAAUACAUUAGCAUGGAAUAAUGAAAUAGGACGUUCGAUCCUAUUUUGUUGGUUUCUAGGAUUGACGUAAUGAUUAAUAGGGAUAGUUGGGGGCAUUAGUAUUCAAUUGUCAGAGGUGAAAUUCUUGGAUUUAUUGAAGACUAACUACUGCGAAAGCAUUUGCCAAGGAUGUUUUCAUUAAUCAAGAACGAAAGUUAGGGGAUCGAAGACGAUCAGAUACCGUCGUAGUCUUAACCAUAAACUAUGCCGACUAGGGAUCGGAUGAUGUUAAUUUUUAAUGACUCAUUCGGCG